rnacentral:rRNA from 1 species
CCUACGGGUGGCUGCAGUGGGGAAUAUUGGACAAUGGGGGCAACCCUGAUCCAGCCAUGCCGCGUGUGUGAAGAAGGCCCUCGGGUUGUAAAGCACUUUCAGUGAGGAAGAACGCCUGGUGGUUAAUACCCAUCAGGAAAGACAUCACUCACAGAAGAAGCACCGGCUAACUCCGUGCCAGCAGCCGCGGUAAUACGGAGGGUGCGAGCGUUAAUCGGAAUUACUGGGCGUAAAGCGCGCGUAGGUGGCUUGAUAAGCCGGUUGUGAAAGCCCCGGGCUCAACCUGGGAACGGCAUCCGGAACUGUCAAGCUAGAGUGCAGGAGAGGAAGGUAGAAUUCCCGGUGUAGCGGUGAAAUGCGUAGAGAUCGGGAGGAAUACCAGUGGCGAAGGCGGCCUUCUGGACUGACACUGACACUGAGGUGCGAAAGCGUGGGUAGCAAACAGGAUUAGCUACCCGAGUAGUC